CUCCUGCCCCCCCGGGGCGCCCGCGGGGGGGCCCAAAGGUGAGCCCCUGGCAGGAAAGACUCAAGGGAGAGGACAACUUGGCCAUGGAACCCUAAUGCCACAGUCCCCUCCGCCCCUUCCCGCAUGGCCCGCAGGCACAGAAACAAGGCUUUGUGUUGGCUCUGA